rnacentral:ncRNA from 1 species
CGGGCGAAUUUCUAUAACUGUCGAACUUGAUUGCCUUCCAUUAACUUCUUUUCCCUGAGAAAAAGCAAUGAUGAUAUCAGAGAAAUAAGCAUCAAAUAACUCUGUGCCAGCAGCCACAGCAAUACAGAGGAUGCAGGUGUUAUCUGGAAUAAUUGGGCGUAAAGUACCUAUAGGUGACUUUUUACACCAGCCAUCAAAUCCCAUGGCUCAACCCUGGAUAGGCGGUGGAAACUGCAACAUAACAUGAGUUGAGUUGAUUGAUUAUGUCAUUCAUGGAGCUGUAAAAAAUAUUUAAGUUUCCACGUAAUGAUUAUUUAGGAACCAGUCUUGAGAUUAGACGAAACAAACUAUAACAUGCGAAGACAAAUGAAGAUAUAUCUGUUGAAACAGUUAAGUAGUGUCCGGUCUUGUUCUCUUCCCUUGGCAAAUCACACGGUAAGGAAGCGCCACCUUCUCAGUGGUGCUUAUCCAAAUUUCCUUCCCU